GAGCCAGCUUAGCCCAGCAGUUCCAUCAACCAAUGCAUAGCUUGGAUCGUGCAAAUCAGCGGUUCCACCGACCAACAAAUUGCUUGGAUCCUGCAAUCGACAACAGUGGUUUGAAACCCGCGGGUGCUGCCUAGUGGUGGU
rnacentral:vault_RNA from 1 species